rnacentral:lncRNA from 1 species
CAACAUUGACACUUCAGGUAAUUCCAACACGGUCCAAUUGGUUGCUCCUCUUCCUUUGGUCUUCUUAAAGACCAGUCCUUCAUCUUCGACUUCAUUACCCUCUUCCAGGGCACAAUCAUGGUAAUCUACAGGGUGCUCGACGCUUGAGAAGAAAUCUGAGCAUGGGAACACCUGUCCCUUUUUAGCUAUCGACAUUGUCUUCUUUAAGUCUUGGGAAUUGUAUCCCAAUCCAGAGCGCUUAUUGUUGUUCGGAAG